GACGUAGGGCGCGAGCGUUGUCCGGAUUUAUUGGGCGUAAAGAGCUCGUAGGUGGUUUGUUAAGUUCAGGGUGAAAGCUCCCGGCUCAACUGGGAGAGGUCCUUGGAUACUGGCAGACUUGAGGGAGGUAGAGGAGAGUGGAAUUCCCGGUGUAGUGGUGAUAUGCGUAGAUAUCGGGAGGAACACCAGUGGCGAAGGCGGCUCUCUGGGCCUUUCCUGACGCUGAGACGCGAAAGCGUGGGGAGCGAACCGG
rnacentral:rRNA from 1 species